rnacentral:rRNA from 1 species
ACGAUGAAGCCCAGCUUGCUGGGUGGAUUAGUGGCGAACGGGUGAGUAACACGUGAGUAACCUGCCCUUAACUCUGGGAUAAGCCUGGGAAACUGGGUCUAAUACCGGAUAGGAGCGUCCACCGCAUGGUGGGUGUUGGAAAGAUUUAUCGGUUUUGGAUGGACUCGCGGCCUAUCAGCUUGUUGGUGAGGUAAUGGCUCACCAAGGCGACGACGGGUAGCCGGCCUGAGAGGGUGACCGGCCACACUGGGACUGAGACACGGCCCAGACUCCUACGGGAGGCAGCAGUGGGGAAUAUUGCACAAUGGGCGCAAGCCUGAUGCAGCGACGCCGCGUGAGGGAUGACGGCCUUCGGGUUGUAAACCUCUUUCAGUAGGGAAGAAGCGAAAGUGACGGUACCUGCAGAAGAAGCACCGGCUAACUACGUGCCAGCAGCCGCGGUAAUACGUAGGGUGCGAGCGUUAUCCGGAAUUAUUGGGCGUAAAGAGCUCGUAGGCGGUUUGUCGCGUCUGUCGUGAAAGUCCGGGGCUUAACCCCGGAUCUGCGGUGGGUACGGGCAGACUAGAGUGCAGUAGGGGAGACUGGAAUUCCUGGUGUAGCGGUGGAAUGCGCAGAUAUCAGGAGGAACACCGAUGGCGAAGGCAGGUCUCUGGGC